rnacentral:misc_RNA from 1 species
AAUUAUUUUAACAUUAACGCAGACAUGUUCACACCAUGAAAUACUUGUGGAUAAUUUUAACGAUGUGGACAGCGUAUUAUGGACGCAUUGAUAUCUGCCUAGCAGAUGACAAUUGCGAGAGAAGGUUUAAGAACUGCUGUGAAGGUUUUAUGUUCGAUUUCCAGACGAACAAAUGCAUUGCGUGUAAAAUAGGAUUUUUUGGCGUGAACUGCUCGAUGACGUGUCCUUAUCCUACAUUUGGCAAGGACUGCCAGUCUACAUGCAGCUGCUCUCCAUGUCACCACGCCGACGGAUGUACAAAAGGUUAUAUGUUGGCAGAACCAAGCAUAUAUUGUUGACAAAUUGAAAUUAAUUUUAAUAAAACACAUUGUUACUGACAUAAUCGUAAAUCGAACAAAAUAUUUGAAUUGUUUUUCAUUUGAAGAAAGAAAUCUUUUCAAAUAUUUGUGAUUUCAUUUUAAGCAUUUUGUUUAUUGAAUAGAGAUAGUAACAGAUACCCCCCGGGGUGAAUACAGAAAGGAAAUGGUGACACAUUUUAAGAAAAUGAUCAGUUCUUACCAAACAUCUUCCACAACUAAAAUGCAUAGGGUCUCAAAAAGUCAGCUGAAUUCUACAGAAAAAAAGAACAAAGAAGAACCAGAAGCCCCAACACUUCAUCAUGGAUUGUACGUGAUUGUCAGUACCAACACGCUACUUACCUUACCAAUCACAGUGGCUGUUAUAUUAUACAUCUGUCGAAAAAGAAAAAGCAGGAAAACUAAACAAGACACUGUGGAAGAAAUUUACUAUCACGCUAAUCCAGACACCUGCUACAACGAUCUGAAUGAGAUCCGCACUGUGACCAAGGCCUGCGAGUACGAUGCUUUACCGGUUGGUUCAGAAGAUUACGCAGAUGGCCGUUUGAGUCUUGAUUUUCUAGACGAUGUUCAGCGAAAGACCCGAGCAAACAGUUAUGUUCCUGUCCGCGAGAGGAAGCCUAAAGAGAACGAUGAAAGGAAUAACGAAAGGGAUCACUAUACCAAAGUCAAGAAAAACUUUUCCCGCACAGAAGUUAAAGGUAACAUGACAAGACAAAACGAAACAACGGAAUCGCUGGAUAGCCAAACAUCAGUAAACACGACUACAUCCGGCGCCGAGUGUCAGUAUGUUGUACCUCUGACCCCUACAGCUGCUGGACCUGGAAUAAGCUUUAAAUCGUCAGAUAAUACAUACCUUAGUGUUCCCAUGGAGGAUGCAGAAACAAUUAGCAAUAGCAGUGUUGUAUAUACAGAGUUAAUAUAAACAGGACCAAAGAAGUUGGAUUGAAAUUUAUUUGAUUGAAAUAUUUUGUACAUAUUUGUGUCAGUGUAUCAUCUCAUGACGUUUGGAAUAAGUUGUUUAUAUUGCUCUCUCUCUCUCUCUCUCUCUCUCCAAAAACAAAGAGUCUGGGAAAUUCCUGUUUUGAUAGGUGUUGUGACUUCGUUCACCAAUUAAAACAAUAUUAGCUGUUCUAACACUGUCGUGGCAGUAUUGUGUUUUCCAAGCGUCCCUGUUUUUCACAUCUGACUGGAUCUCCACAUUGAUAAAUACAUCCGGGUCUGUUGGUGUCCUUGAGCAUCAUUGUUUGCAUAAUCUGUAUAUAGUAAGUUUAACGUUAUCGAUUCGCAAAAUGUUUAAUUAAAAAAAAGUAUGGUGCGUUUAUAAAUGUUUGUGAUUUACAUUGUGUAUAUAUUUUCAAGACAUACAUAAACUGGUUUGUAUAAAAGAACUGUGUGCAAGAUAAGAAUAAAAUGUUUUCUUCCAC